CAAAUAAAGGGGCAGGAUCCCCAAAAGCAGAGCUGUCCCUUUGGAACAGGUUCAUCAACGUGAACAGACACCAGUGGACCUUGCGUAAGGCUCGUGCCUCCAGGAGCUCGAUGGAGCUGGAAAGUGAGGAGCAGCCGCUCCUGCGGGCAGCUGAGAUCAGACCCACGAGCCCUGAGCUCCCCGUGCUGCCCGCAGAGCCCUGUGCGGCGCUGCCGGUGUACAGGUUUUCCAGGAGCAGAGCGGCCGCUGGUGGCUUUGGGAGAAGCCAUGCAGAGCUGGGAGCGAACGGAGCAGGAAUGCCUGGAGAAGGCUGAGAUGCAUGACCCCAUGGAGCCUCACUGCCACUGUCCUGCAGGAGACAUCAGUGCUUCCCCUCUGCUGUGCCCAACCUGCCCAGGAGCCCUGUGUUUCAGCUUCCUCCUCUCCUCCUCUUCUUUCCCUCGUGUUCAUCAUUCAUGUGCACACCACGUUUCCUUUCUGCUUUCUCCCUUCCCUGCUCCUUGGAGAAGACCCUGUGUGUCUCACCACACUGAUGAGGUGGACAGGUUUGAUUCGAGUUGGUUUCAAUUGAACAUUCUGUGUGAACAAGCUCUUCUUGCUUCUCCCUCUGUGCUCUCAAGUUCCCUCAUUAAACAGUUCUCUGCUGAAUUGUUUUUCUCCUUUCUUUCUUUCCCUCUGCCUUCCAGUUUUUCCCAUGUCUUCCCCAUUACUCUCUUGGUUUCUACGGUGUUUAUGGAUGAAUUUCUUAAUUUGGGGGUUAGAACAAGUAAAUCUGCCUCUGCUGCAAAGGAGAGGUGA
rnacentral:lncRNA from 1 species